rnacentral:rRNA from 1 species
UAAUUUAACUUGGGAGUCAGAACAUGGGUGAUUAGGUCCGUGUUCGAAAGGGAAACAGCCCAGACCACCAGCUAAGGUCCCAAAAUAUAUGUUAAGUGGAAAAGGAUGUGGCGUUGCCCAGACAACUAGGAUGUUGGCUUAGAAGCAGCUAUCAUUUAAAGAGUGCGUAAUAGCUCACUAGUCGAGUGACACUGCGCCGAAAAUGUACCGGGGCUAAACAUAUUACCGAAGCUGUGGAUUGUCCUUUGGACAAUGGUAGGAGAGCGUUCUAAGGGCGUUGAAGCAUGAUCGUAAGGACAUGUGGAGCGCUUAGAAGUGAGAAUGCCGGUGUGAGUAGCGAAAGACGGGUGAGAAUCCCGUCCACCGAUUGACUAAGGUUUCCAGAGGAAGGCUCGUCCGCUCUGGGUUAGUCGGGUCCUAAGCUGAGGCCGACAGGCGUAGGCGAUGAAUAACAGGUUGAUAUUCCUGUACCACCUAUAAUCGUUUUAAUCGAUGGGGGGACGCAGUAGGAUAGGCGAAGCGUGCGAUUGGAUUGCACGUCUAAGCAGUAAGGCUGAGUAUUAGGCAAAUCCGGUACUCGUUAAGGCUGAGCUGUGAUGGGGAGAAGACAUUGAGUCUUCGAGUCGUUGAUUUCACACUGCCGAGAAAAGCCUCUAGAUAGAAAAUAGGUGCCCGUACCGCAAACCGACACAGGUAGUCAAGAUGAGAAUUCUAAGGUGAGCGAGCGAACUCUCGUUAAGGAACUCGGCAAAAUGACCCCGUAACUUCGGGAGAAGGGGUGCUCUUUAGGGUUAACGCCCAGAAGAGCCGCAGUGAAUAGGCCCAAGCGACUGUUUAUCAAAAACACAGGUCUCUGCUAAACCGUAAGGUGAUGUAUAGGGGCUGACGCCUGCCCGGUGCUGGAAGGUUAAGAGGAGUGGUUAGCUUCUGCGAAGCUACGAAUCGAAGCCCCAGUAAACGGCGGCCGUAACUAUAACGGUCCUAAGGUAGCGAAAUUCCUUGUCGGGUAAGUUCCGACCCGCACGAAAGGCGUAACGAUUUGGGCACUGUCUCAACGAGAGACUCGGUGAAAUCAUAGUACCUGUGAAGAUGCAGGUUACCCGCGACAGGACGGAAAGACCCCGUGGAGCUUUACUGUAGCCUGAUAUUGAAAUUCGGCACAGCUUGUACAGGAUAGGUAGGAGCCUUUGAAACGUGAGCGCUAGCUUACGUGGAGGCGCUGGUGGGAUACUACCCUAGCUGUGUUGGCUUUCUAACCCGCACCACUUAUCGUGGUGGGAGACAGUGUCAGGCGGGCAGUUUGACUGGGGCGGUCGCCUCCUACAAGGUAACGGAGGCGCUCAAAGGUUCCCUCAGAAUGGUUGGAAAUCAUUCAUAGAGUGUAAAGGCAUAAGGGAGCUUGACUGCGAGACCUACAAGUCGAGCAGGGUCGAAAGACGGACUUAGUGAUCCGGUGGUUCCGCAUGGAAGGGCCAUCGCUCAACGGAUAAAAGCUACCCCGGGGAUAACAGGCUUAUCUCCCCCAACGAGUUCACAUCGACGGGGAGGUUUGGCACCUCGAUGUCGGCUCAUCGCAUCCUGGGGCUGUAGUCGGUCCCAAGGGUUGGGCUGUUCGCCCAUUAAAGCGGUACGCGAGCUGGGUUCAGAACGUCGUGAGACAGUUCGGUCCCUAUCCGUCGUGGGCGUAGGAAAUUUGAGAGGAGCUGUCCUUAGUACGAGAGGACCGGGAUGGACAUACCUCUGGUGUACCAGUUGUCGUGCCAACGGCAUAGCUGGGUAGCUAUGUGUGGACGGGAUAAGUGCUGAAAGCAUCUAAGCAUGAAGCCCCCCUCAAGAUGAGAUUUCCCAACUUCGGUUAUAAGAUCCCUCAAAGAUGAUGAGGUUAAUAGGUUCGAGGUGGAAGCAUGGUGACAUGUGGAGCUGACGAAUACUAAUCGAUCGAAGACUUAAUCAA